CUUUGAGCACUGACUUUUAAAUCCCUUUAAUGGAGUUACUAAGCUGCCUGGGACUACUCUGAGGGAAGACAGCUAUGGCCAUGUUGUCAAAAGAACAGGAGAAGAUCCACAGAGUUUAAAAAGAAGAUUCUGAAUUUCAGACCCCGUUCAUAUUCUUUCCAAAACCAUACCAGUUCAUGGAACAUGCUAAACAGGGACCAUUCAGAAUAUCCACCUAACAAAUGCUGGAUCAGUCCAUUAAGGAUCCAGUUUCCUGCUUUCAGGACCUGAUUAAAGUUGACACAAAGCCAGGGACAGUCAUAAUUUAGGCGGGCCUCUAGAAUACUCAGCAUUAUUCCCCUUUUCAUGAAGAGAUGCAUGGCUGUCUCUCACAACAACCCUCUGUUAUAGACUCCAUCUUAUCAUGUGCAUCCACUACCAUGUGCAGAAGUCAGCUUUUUUAAAAGCCACAUUGAAAAGUGAUACAAUCAUUUGCCCAGAGACUUGCAUAUGGAGAAGGGAGUAGCACCCUGUCAAGAGCAGCCUCACCCCUGCUUAGGAGUAGACGCAAGCUUGAAGAGACUUUGCUUACUGUCGUUUAUAUUAACAGUUUAUUCAUUGUUCGAGCAUUUGUUCACUUUCCUGAUACAAUCCAAACAUCAUUGUAUUGCCACUCAUUUAGAUUUUCCUUCCCUUCUUCAUAAUGUCUUGCACUUGAAAGAGAAAGUCUUUUAUCUACAUAAGUAAAUUAUUUAAGAAAAAUGGAGUAGCUACAUAGAGUUAAACAAAGAAAGAAUAAAAAAGGAUAAAUAUAUGCAUUGGCUUUUCAAUGGAUCAUAUUAAUCUGCAUAUAAUUCAAAUAAAAAUUCCCUAUUAAUUGAAAUUUUUACAUUUACUUUUAGUAGUUUGGUGUUCAUGGACAGUUCAGCUCAAGAGAUCUACUUAUGUAUAUUGGAGGUAUAUAUGCUUAUUAUUCAUGUGGAUUUACUGAACAAUGCAACAUGCUCCUCUGACAAAUCCCCUUUGACCAGGAUACAGCCCAUGAAGGGUGAGCAAGGCUUCGAGGUCCAUGGCUGUUCCUGGUUUGGAUUUCAAGCCCAACCUGGGUCGCUACUGGGCAAAUCCAAAGCAUAAGCACUGCAGUAGCCUGCAGACCAUCACAGCUCUGCUUGAGCCUUGCUCCCGUGUCCCAGCCCCUGCUUUAAAAGGAAGCAGACUGGCUGCUGGCACAUUGCUCUGUAGCUCCUCUUAGAGUUACUUGGCUGCCAAACAAAUUACCCAGCGCUUGCCUUUGUCUUGCUCUGCCUUGUCGCCGUUUUGCUCUGCCUUGUCUGCUUAGCCACUGUUCCUGAUCUGUGCCCAUUUUGCCCUGAACUUUUCCCUUCUGUGCCUCCCACAUCCUGGCUUGGGCUUGGGCUUGGACUGGCCACAGGUUGAGGACCAGCCUGGAGCAUUUUCUCAGAGCUAGUACAGUCCCAGAAGUUGGAUGCUUCUCCUCUGUGCUGCAGAAGAGACAGGGCUGUAGCUAUUAAAGCGACCUGAUCCAACUACAGGGAGUUUUUUUCUGAGUCAGCACUGAAUCACAUCAGUAGGAAAGUUUGCUGAUGAUGCAAUCCCACCUCACCAUAUCCCGUUCAGUGGUAUGCAGCCUGAUCUUAAACUUAAAUUCAGGUAUACAUUUUGCACUCAUAUCCAUUACAUUAGUUUCCCUACUAACUUCUGGGGAAUGUGGAUUAUAUCCAAAUUUGGAAGUCUUAAGCCCCCAAAGGUGUGAUUCAAACAGCACCAAAUUAAGGGCAUGCUGUCUUUGCUUAUGCCUAGCAAAAAAUGUUGGCUUGCUGUGACUUAUUUUCAUAGGGUUUGAUGGACCAGUUCAUGUAUUUUACAUGGUCACCAGACAAUGAAAGGAAUCCUGGAUAUAUUUUCUAAAAUGUCAGCUUGAAAUAUGACAGUUUCCAUAUUACUUGGCACCCUGAAGUCAAAGAGAAUGCUAUUUUUAGAGGUCUGUCCCAUUCAACCAGCUAUAUAAGGCCAUGCUGGGAAGAUGGAUGCUUUUGUAUAAUACAUCAAAAUGGCAGUUAUUUAAAAAGCAAGGAAGACCUGAUUCUGUUCUCAGGGAUGGGAAUGCAGAUAAGGGGAAAUAUUGCUGAUACCCGUUUGAAAUCAGUACUACCGAAAUACAUGUUUUUGUCAGUAUUUUAAAUUUACACAAUACAGGUGUAUAUUUUUUGCUUGAAAAUGCACACAUCCCAACUUUUCCUCUGCUACUGAAUCAUGCCUUCUCUCAUACUACUGGAAAGGUGGUCCAGCUGGGAGAAUAAGGUGUGACCCUCUCAGGAAUCUUUCAGUUCAAUCUGGAACCCAGUUCAAGAUUCUGCAUCCUUGGUCAAAUCCAGGAGCCCCCAUUGUGAUGUCUACAGGAGCUGUGGCACCCCUUAGCACAUCCAGUGGUGACCACAAAAUGGUCUAACCUAUAUACAUGGAUUUCUAUAAAAUGCAAACAACUUCUAGAGAUUAUAUCUAGACUUCAACAAAAGUUCACCAAAUAAUCAGAUAGGUAACCAUCUGAAGGUGAAGUCUGUAUGUCACCUGAUCUAUACCAGAUGCAUUCUGAAGACUCUGGUAUUGGACGGCAUAUAAAAACUUUAAAUAAAUAAAUAAAUAAGUCUUCAGUACAUUGUUUUAUAGAUGAGUGCUUCUCCAUCCAGUUUUGUAAUAUCAGUCUUUUAGCUGUCAAAGAGACACAGAGAAACCAUUUCUCCUUGUGUGCAUUAAUUUCCAUGAAGCAGGUAAAUAAUUUAAAAGAUCAUGUAAAUCAGUGAAUGUUACAGAUGAUUCUGGUAUGAAAAUGAGCUGUGCGAUACCUUUCUGCCUAGAGGAGGCAACUAUUGGACAUUGCCAAAGCACAUGUCUAGAAGAAGCACUAGCUUACUGUAUUGCACCACGAUCCUUUAUGAAAGAGACUGUGGUGUCCCAUAGACAUGAAACAAAACUUCAUGUGCAAUAUAAGAACCACAGAGAAGAUAGGGAGAUGCCAAAGUGGUGAGCUGCUAGAUAUGUAUUUUCUGUGGUGCUCUCAUCACUUUCUUAAAUUCCUAAGUGCAUCCAAGUCUAUGGUCUUCCUGGCCACCCUUGAGAGCCCUACUGGGCCCCCAAGCCUGAGAUACUGAUUUCAUAUGGAUAGCAGUAACAUUUCCCCAUAACUGAGAAUAGAAUCACUUCUUUCCUCCUUUUGGAGAACAGCCAUUUUGAUGUAUUAUACAAAAGGGUUGUUUAAGUGAUCAUUGAAGAAAGAUCUCAAAAUACAUUCCGAUGUAUAUACAACAGAGAGGAUGCAGACUUGGCCUUACUUAGGCUAAAUUAGUCAGGCAUAAUUUAAGUACCAUUGUUUUCAAUGAUCUACUGUAAGUAAAAAUAAGUCUGAAUCAUGCCCAAUACAUUGCCUUUUCUAAGGCAUGCUGGAUGCUCCUGCAGUGGUUCUGUUGUUGAGGAUGAAGAGAAUUCCCUGCAUCUCUUCAGUGCUCUUUGGUCUGAGUCCUGAAUUCCAACUGAAUUGGGAGAAUUUUUCAAAUUAAAUUCUGGAACUAGAGCAUGCAUGGUUUGCCAUAGCUACUUGUUGAUUUGCAGCAUGUGCGCUGAUACAAGAGACUUCAAAAAGGAAUCCUGACUAUGACCAUCUCCUUGUGUAGUAUUUACUGACGAACGAAAAACAUCCUUCACAUUGGUGAAACACUGCAGGAAAAAGGAUUAUUGAUGCAACAAGCCACACAUUCACACUGGCCUUGCUUUUUGUAGUAUUUUAUCAAGGUGCCCAAGUCUAUUCACACACUGGUAAAACAUUGCACUAAGAGAAUCUUGAUGCUGCCGUGCAUACCAUCAUGCCAAAAUGAUGGUUUGUGAAUUUGCCCUGGUAAUAGAGGGAGUCUGUGUGGAAGACAUGAAGGGAAAGAAAGCUGCAGCACACUCUACACUCUUGCGAUCUCUUCAAAAUUCAUAACAACAACAACAAGCACAAAGGACAAUGGAGAAUUCCUAACACAUUUAUACCAGAAAAAGGGCCACGUAAUCCGGGAAGUAGUCCAAGUUACCGGUGUGAUGUAGUAGUCUGAGUGUUGGACAGGGGCUCAGGAGAUCCAGAUUCUAAUCCCCACUCAGUCAUGAAACUCACAGGAUGACUUAGGCCCAGUCACAAACUCGCAGUCUUACCUACCUCACAGGGUUGUUGUUGGGAGAAUAAAGUGGAAAGGGGGGUAAUCUUGUAAACUUGUAUGUGGUUUUAUUUAUUGUUGUAAGCCACCCCGAGGCUUCGGCGAAUGGGGCGGCAUAAAAAUGUUUUAAUAAAUAAAUAAAUAAAAAAUAAAAUAAACUGUCCUGGGUUUCUUGCAAGAGGAAGAAAAGCAGUUAUAAAUGUAAGAAGAAGAAUGCAGAUACAGUUAAUUUCGGAAACAUCCUGAGUUAUUGUAUCCUUUUUUCUUUCGGCUCCAGGUAAAACCGUUUUUAUUUCCCAUUAUUUUAAUUGUCAAUUGUCUUAAUUUGUGGUUUUAUAUUUAUUACAGGAUGCUGUGCUACUUUUAUCUCUUUAUCCUAUUUUACUGGAGUUCUUGUAAACCGUCCCGAGUCAUCAGUGAUGGGACGGUAUGCAAAAGUUUUAAAUAAACAAUAAAUAAAUAAAUAUCCAUUUAGUGUGCCAUAAUUUGUUAAGGGAGAAGAAUGAGUUGGCCCCUAUGUGGGCACUUCAGAACAGCAAAAAGAACUAGCAGCAGCUGCUGCAAAACACAAUGUUCGCAUAGCAGUCUUUCAGAAGGCCAGCCUGCCCUUCAACUGUCAGGGUUAGAUGAGAUAUCAGGGCUAAAUUAAGGACACCGGCUCCAUGCCUUCCCAAUAGUUAACUCAGAGGCUGCUCCAAGGUUGCUGAGGGUAGGAAAAGAAAUAAUUGUAGUGAGCGGCAUUACUGGGCUAGGCCUUAUUGCUAGACCCAAAGAACCAAAAUUCACAAUGAUCUGGCUUCAGAGUCAUGAGACUGAAUGUAUGUGAUUAGUGUUGGUCUGGAUUAAAUAUUCUGCCUACUUUUUGCCUUUUAUCCUCACGGACAGAGAAGUCUCAUCGUGAAGAUGUAUAACUUAAGCACAACACUAAAUGCAGGUAAUAUUUUGCAAGGCAUUUGCAGCCUGUCAUAACUAUCUUUAUUCUGCAUAAAGUAGCUUCAAAAGUGAAGCAUUUUCCGACUGUGGGUGUAUUUGCACUUCACACAGACUCACCCUGACAAUAAGCCACAGUGGACUCGCUGCUCGAACAGCCUGCAAUGUACCCAACAGACAACUGGGAUUGCUGUGGGUUCUCUGCACCGUUCUUCCCCUUCUCUCCCAAAAUUCAGGCUCCCUCUUAAAAUGGGAUCCUGGAAGGGACAUUCAUGACAUAUGCAAUUACUGCCAAUAUGCAGGGACAGCAAUGGCUGACUGGGAUUCUCGGGAAUUUUUACUACCCAGGACCCUGCCAAGUAUCUGGGGCAGGGGGAGAAGGCAGCACUGAAGUGGGCGGAGAAACUUGGCCUGCUAACAGUGGAGCUUAGAGAGAAAUCAUGGAACUCGCUCAUCCCAGAUAUGAAGUCAAGUCCAUUCAUCUUCGCGUGGGAUCAUCGUGACCUGACUUGUGACGAGUCAGGCCGCACGUGAGUAUGUCAGAUAUGCUUCAGCCUGACAGCUCGUUUCUUUUCCUGGGGAAAAGUAUCUAGAGAGGGGAAAAUAUGUGCUGUUGAUUUUUUAAAUCAUGUGUUUUGAAGAUUAAGCAUCUGCUGUCACAUGUUUUUGUGUGCAUAGGGAAUGGGUUGCAUGUUGGAAUUGGGAUAGAGCCUGCAAUGGUUGACAUUUCAAUACCUUAAGACUUGAGAAAAAAAACAGGAACAUAGCAAGACAAGGCAAUACUGGAACUGACAAGUGAUAAAGCACAAUGCAUGGAAUUGUAGUUUUCAGGCUUCAAAAAAUAAAAUGAGACAAUGCUGCCAUCUGGUGGCAAAAUUACUCAAUCGGGACUUGCCUGAUAUACCUGUCAAGACAAUGUUAAUAUAUAUUUGGAGGGUGGGAAAAACACUAGAUCAGGUACCAUUUAUGCAAUUUGUGGUUUUUAUUCGUAUUGUUUAUUUAUUUUUUAAAAGUAAGUGACAAGUUGAGUGUCUUACUCCUUGUUGGGAUUCUACCACUUGGGGUGGAUGAAAUUCAACCCUUUGCUCAGCCUCCACCCUAGUCUCUCUUUGGAUCAACACACACACGCACUCACACCACCCAGUAAAUGAUCCCCACCCCACCUCACACACAGAGACAUGCCUGCUGUUUGUUUUGAAAUUAUUCGCAUUCCCAUCUAUUUGCAUGAAACCACAACUGCAGCUGCAUCACUGGCAGCACAUCGAGUUUCACCCUGUGUUGAUCUGAGCGUUAAUAUCAGAGCAAGCAAUCCUCUGCACUCCCACCCACACACCUGCCUUGUUUUCCACAUACAAUAUGUGCAGGAUGUGCAAAUCAGCAAAACUCAAGCUCAGAGAACUUCUUCACAUUCCAUCUUAAAGUUUAUUCUGUCCCAGUCUGUAUCAGAUUGCAACCUUUUUCUUUCCACUUGAAAAUCCAAGAGCACUCCUGAGCAUGUUUUCCCACAUUUAAACCUCAAUUGUGCACAUUUCUGAAAUGUGUGCAUUCUUCUGCUAGUAUGAUUGGGUUUAUUUUUAAGAGGUUUUUUGUGCACAUUUUUCAAAUAUAUGCAUGUUUUCAAACUCCUUUUUUCCUGUCACAUUGCAAGCUUGGAAAUAGAUGGACUUAACUGUAGAUUACACCCAAGUCCAUGUCCAGUCCAGACGUUAUGAAAAGGGUAAAAUUGUGAUCAAAGUCAAACCGAAACAAAUUUCUCAUACUUCCCUAGGACUACAUGAGGAGGUAGAUUUCCAAAUGUUUCGGUCUUCAGCAUACAGAAGCCCCUGCCAACAUGGCCAAUGGUCAAGAAUGCACGAACUGAAGUCCAUAACAUCUGGAGAUUUACUUUCUGGCCACUCUGGCCUAUUCCAUCAGUCCACUGCCCACUGAUUUCUUCAGGCUCCCACUUCGUAAUCUAUUGUGUACUUUGUUCCAUUUCCUGUGGUCAGUCUGUCUCUUGGCUAUAGAACUUAGAAGUCCUAUCUUAUUCCCCACACAUAGUAUACAGCUCUGCCCUCACCUGACCUUAAGCACUAAGAGAUUCCUUCAAAACCUUUUCUGGUUUCCCAUCUCUCUGCAAACAUUCUGAUGGCAGGGCAUUUGGCAUGCCCAUGGGCAGAACGGUUUGCUCUAGCUUAAAGUCUGCCACAAACACGAUAUGAUAUCUCAAGUCUGCCUUAAAAGCAAAGUACCAUUUCUUAGAAGUCAUCUGGUUUUAACAAGAAUUUUACCAGGCUCUUGAUGAUUGAGAAGACAGAGGUUAAAUCAGCAGAACAAAAUUUAUUGUGAGUUAUUGAAAGCAGCUGUAGAUGUAUUUACUCAAGAAAACUGACUUUAAUUAAGGAUCAGGCUUGAGAACAAUUUAUAAACAGGCAGACCAUUAUUUUGAGUUGUGGUGAUCCAUUUGAUGCUGUACCUGCACACAAGAUGCUCUAGUGGACUAACCUUUGUGGCCUGGACCUUGUAGCUGGACUACAGCCAGCCACCCCCAUUUUGAAGGGGGUUGCUUUGAGGAACAGCACACACACCAUGCAUGCCUGUUUGAUUAGCCUGAUUCUGUCAACAGCACCUCCACACUCGCAUUUGCCUUAUCUAGAAAUCUGCAGGAUCAGUAUGGAAACUCUUCUCACAUGGUCCCACAUGGUAGGGCCACUGGAUAGAGCAACCACCACCAGAAACACUUAUGCAGCAAUGGGACUCUGAAAGCCCCACCUCCUCACAGCCAGUGUGGAAAGAACUGCACUGGCUGCCCCCCCCCCCCCAAAUUCAACAAUUUACCCUGGAGAGCAGGCUGGGGGACGCUGGGGCUGAUGUACUAUCAGAUAGUGCCCCAGCCUCCUCCUCCUCUCCUCCAUCUGUACUGCUUCAUCCACAGGACUGAAAAAUGGCUGUCUAGGUGAAAUGCAGCAUGUGGGGUGUGACAGCAAAGAUCAUCUCUAGCACAUCUUGCUGCGUGCAACGGAUACGCAUACGUCUUUGAAUUUAUUGUCUUACAUUCUUUGAGUGCAGGGGGUAUUGAAUGGCAUGCAAUGGGUUCCUGUAUGUGAAAGAGUGUCACUGGAAAUCUUGGAUUUAAACAACUUUAAUAUAAUUUUGUUUAUGGCUCACCUGCCCUCUUUGUCUUGUCUCUCUAAUGCAGAAGCAAAUUUCUGUACAAGUAGUAGAAGUAAGCUCUAGGACAAGGCCAGACCAGCUCUACCAAGAUCAGCCUUACCCAGACUGGUCCUCCCAGAUGUGUUGGGUUUCAACAGGGGCAGCACCUGCCACUCAGAAAUGCUCAACAUUGGAGUCUUCAGGCUUCAUUAGACCAAAGCAGCUGCCCGGGUGAAACUCACAAAUAGGUCCUGAGAGCAGCAGCACCAUCCUUCCUGAAUUCCCCAGCAGGCUGAUACUGGAAGUAGUUCAUAGCCAUCAUGACCAGUAGUCCUUGACAGACUUCUUUCCCGCCACCCACCCCUGUGAAUUUGACUAUUUUUUCUUAUCUUGUGGUGACUAAUUCCAAAGUUUGACUAUACACCUUGUGAAGAAGUAUUUUUACCUGUCCUGAAUGAAAAUGAAAAAAAGAGAGAAAAAAUGUUUGCCUAGCCACAGACAACCACUCCAUUUUCCACAUGAGGGGCAUAUCAGGGAAAUGCUCGUUAGCCCCAACUUCCAUAUUCAGCAGAAUGAAUUGGUGCCCUCUUUUUUUUUUUUUUUGGUAAUUCAUAACUGGCCCUGGCCUGUGAGCAGACAGGCCUCUCUGUGUGGGUGGGAGUCUGUUGCUAGUAUGGGCAACUCUCCACAUAAAACAGCUACCUUCAUCAUUCAUUGUGGCACAGCCAAAAUAAAGCCAAAAGGAAAUGUAAUUUGCAUAAGAUUUGUGUGCCCUCUUUUACUGCCAUAAAUUGAGAGAUCGUGAUUAUAGUUUAAAUGGAAAUAAAGUGCAUCUCACCAUUAUGUGAGAGACUGAGUUGUGCACCUCGCUCAAUCUGCUGUCCAGGUGCCGUUGGUGGCAAACUUCCAGACCCAGGUCUUCCUUCUGAGAGCCCUUUCUCUUUAAACCAAACUUGGACUGGACAGCCCUUCAGUCAGAGGACACUUUCAAAUAAAGGACUGUAUAAAAUAAAUAAAGGGCAUAAGGGAGAAGGCCUAGGGGAGAAGGAGAGGUGUGGAGGAAAGGCAGCAGUAAGGCUUGUCUGUUGUCCUAUGGGGUAAAAUAGCAGGAGGGAGAGUGGGCCGAAAGGCUGUUUGGCCCAUGCAGCUCUUCUUCCUCAUUGGCUUGGUAGUGUGUGAGGUAAGGGUCUUUUAGUAUAGGCUGGUAUCCUGCAUUCUCACCUGGGACCUCCUGAAUGCAAAUUGUAAACUGUUCCGCCAGACACCGUACUCCGGGCAUCCCUGGAACUGAGGCCAGGGAAGACAAAAGCCCCAUGAUGGAUACUGUUGCUAAUUUGUUGUGGAAAGGCUCUGUGAUGUUUGCAGUGGGAUUCCAAAUCACAUUUACCCUGGACAUGCCUUUUUUGAGAGCAGGCAUGCAAACCUUGAGUGGGGUCAUAUUUUCCCCUUCUCCAUAGUGGGGCCUGAUCUCCUAUAUCCUGUUUCUCAACCCUGUGCAUUAUGCAGUGAACCAUGGGAGGCUGCUGCCACCCAUGAAUCUGUGGCUGCCCUUGCAGGAGUCCCCCAUCUCCCCAUC